CAAGUAACUUUUGAGUAAAUUUCCGCGGAUUUUUCACAAGGAAGAGAGCUAUGAUGAUAUUAGACGUGAAUAUAAAUGUGCUUAUUAAGCAUUAUAGCUAGUAGCACACGUACCUGUAUUGGUAUGUAAAGUGUUAAAAAGAACACAACCCCCCCCCCCUUCCCGGAAUAAAUGGAUAGUAUCUAAAACUACCAAAACAUGCCCACAUAUGCUGCGAUACUGGAAUAUAUGUAAUUGGGCGGUAUAAACUUAAAACUAAAACGUUUAAUUACCAAAUUCCAAACACAAUUGGUCACCACCAAGACUGUCUGUUGAAGUAAUACCAUUACUCUUAAAUUUAACUUAAUUCGACUUGUAGACAUCAUCAAGCUGUGUACGCAGUCAAUUUUCAUAAGUUCUUCACACCUUUUAGGUCCUUUAGCAAUUUCGUUGCACACAGAUAAUUUGCGUGUACUGUGUUAUACAAUGCUUGCGUAUGCGUGUGUUAGG